GCCCAAGGAGAAGAAGCCCGCAGCUGCUAGGAAGCCGGCCGCCCACCCGCCGUACGCCGAGGUGAGGCAGCGAUCCGAUUGCCUGUUUUUGUUUUUUUGUGUUUUGGAAUUCGAUCUGAUUCUGUGAUUUGCUUGUCGUCUUCGUCGUCGUGCAGAUGAUCUCGGAGGCGAUUGCGGCGCUGAAGGAGAGGACCGGGUCGAGCUCGGUGGCCAUCGGCAAGUACCUGGAGGAGAAGCACGGCGGGAACCUGCCGUCCAACUUCCGCAAGCAGCUGGCCGUGCAGCUCAAGAAGCUCGCUGCCGCGGGGAAGCUGACCCGUGUGAAGAACUCCUUCAAGCUGCCGUCCGCCCGCCCGGCGGUCGAGCCCAAGGCCGCGCCCAAGCCCGCCAAGGCCGCCGCCAAGCCGGCUGCCAAGCCCGCCAAGGCCGCCAAGCCGGCGGCCAAGCCCAAGGCGUCCCCGAAGGCGAAGGCCAAGACCGCCGCCAAGCCCAAGGCUGCGGCGGCGGCGUCCCCCAAGCCCAAGGCCAAGGCCAAGGCCGCCGCCCCUGCCGCGGCGCCCAAGCCCCGCGGCCGCCCGCCCAAGGCUGCCAAGACCUCCGCCAAGGCCUCCCCUGCCAAGGCCGCCAAGAAGCCCGCCCCGGCGACGCCCAAGAAGGAGAAGGCCGCGGCGACCCCCAAGAAAGCCGGGCGCCCGAAGAAGGCCGCCGCUGCAUCUCCGGCUAGGAAGGGCGCGGCGAGGAAGGCCAAGAAGUAGACCGGCGCCGGCGACCCCCUGCCAUUCCGCCUAUAGAUGUGCCCCCCGCUCCUCCCCGGAUUUUGGUCCAUCCUAGCUUUGUCAGAUGAAACCAGUAAAAC
rnacentral:lncRNA from 1 species